UAACACUGAGGCGUGAUGACGAGGCACUACGGUGCUGAAGUGACAGAUGCCCUGCUUCCAGGAAAAGCCUCUAAGCAUCAGGUAACAUUGAAUCGUACCCCAAACCGACACAGGUGGUCAGGUAGAGAAUACUCAGGCGCUUGAGAGAACUCGGGUGAAGGAACUAGGCAAAAUGGUGCCGUAACUUCGGGAGAAGGCACGCUGGG
rnacentral:rRNA from 1 species